GCCUCCCUCCCAGACUCAAACCAAUCAUGUCACAAUUUCGAGAAGAGCUGCUAUCUCAUCCAAAAAUUAUUCAACCCAAAGUUUUGUAGCACUUGAAGAAUAUCAGUAUUUGAAUAUUGAUUUUUAAUACAUGGAUAACGAUGUUCCAAUUUUUUCCGUGGACAGUUGGAAGGCCACGAAAGUUUAGAGGGGGAAGAGCGUCUCAUCACAACUUAUCUACCGGUUAAAUGAGUUCACUUGAUCACAGAAUGUUCGUCACUGCAUAUUCAAAAAUUACUCUGAAGAUCCAUUAUUGUUAACUUUCUUCAUUCUGUUGGUUGGCCAUACACCUUUUCCAGUCAAGGAUGUUUUCCGCUGACAGAAAGAAUAUUUGAGGCAAGUUCGACACAAAGGUCCGUACGGAGGGGUUUCACUGAGCCCUGGAGCAAAAGGAAUAGUUGUGGACAAUGUUCACAGGGCAUAAAGAAAUUAAUCUACACAUACACACAUAUACAUUCCGUAGAAAAAAUGUACAGUUCGACUAAAGAACUGUGCAGAAGAAAACGAUAAAUAGAAAUCUCAACUUGAGUGUCCUUCAUAUUCCCAAUUCCUUAAAUGAUGCAAUUAAAAUGAGCUAUUUGGUCAAAGUUUAA
rnacentral:lncRNA from 1 species